UACGGAGGGUGCGAGCGUUGUCCGGAUUCAUUGGGCGUAAAGAGCUCGUAGGCGGCUCAGUAAGUCGGGUGUGAAAGUCAGGGGCUCAACCCUUGAAUGCCGGCGGAUACUGUCGGGCUAGAGUCCGGAAGAGGCAAGUGGAAUUCCCGGUGUAGCGGUGAAAUGCGCAGAUAUCGGGAGGAACACCUAUGGCGAAGGCAGCUUGCUGGGACGGUACUGACGCUGAGACGCGAAAGCGUGGGGAGCAAACAGG
rnacentral:rRNA from 1 species